rnacentral:tRNA from 1 species
GGCGAGGUAGCUCAGUUGGCUAGAGCAAUCGGUUCAUACCCGGUAGGUCAUGAGUUCGAAUCUCAUCCUCGCUACCA